UACGUAGGGGGCAAGCGUUGUCCGGAUUUAUUGGGCGUAAAGAGCGUGUAGGCGGCUUGGUAGGUCUCGCGUCAAAACCUGAGGCUCAACCUCAGUUCGCGUGGGAAACCACCUAGCUAGAGUCCGGAAGAGGAGAACGGAAUUCCCAGUGUAGCGGUGAAAUGCGCAGAUAUCAGGAGGAACACCGGUGGCGAAGGCGGGUCUCUGGGCAGUAACUGACGCUGAGGAGCGAAAGCGUGGGGAGCGAACAGG
rnacentral:rRNA from 1 species